AUUGAACGCUGGCGGCAGGCCUAACACAUGCAAGUCGAGCGAGCGGCGGACGGGUGAGUAAUGUCUGGGAAAAUGCAUAAUGGAGGGGGAUAACUACUGGAAACGGUAGCUAAUACCGCAUACCAUCAGAUGUGCCCAGAUGGGAUUAGCUUGUAGGUGGGGUCACGGCUCACCUGGGCGACGAUCCCUAGCUGGUCUGUGAGGAUGACCAGCCACACUGGAACUGAGACACGGUCCCGACUCCUACGGGAGGCAGCAGUUGGGAAUAUUGCACGAUGAGCGCAAGCCUGAUGCAGCCAUGCCGCGUGUGUGAAGAAGGCCUUCGGGUUGUAAAGCACUUUCAGCGGGGAUGCGUUACCCGAAGAAGAAGCACCGGCUAACUCCGUGCCAGCAGCCGCGGUAAUUC
rnacentral:rRNA from 1 species